CGUGUAGGCGGUCAAUUAAGUCUGAUGUGAAAUACCCGUUUUUAAGAUGGGUCGUGCAUUGGAAACUGAAUGACUUGAGUGCAGAAGAGGUAAGUGGAAUUCCCGGUGUAGCGGUGAAAUGCGUAGAGAUCGGGAGGAACACCAGUGGCGAAGGCGACUUACUGGGCUGCAACUGACGCUGAGGCGCGAAAGCGUGGGGAGCAAACA
rnacentral:rRNA from 1 species